GAAGAGCUCCAGACAUCACAUUAUGUUCUUUGAAAGCAUAUCAUGUGUCAGCCGGACAAGAACAAGAUCGGUAUAGCCCAAGAUAUGCAGUUAGUGGAGGGGAAUGGGGUUGGCAAAUGGGCCAAGUACAACGCAUUCGUACCAGUGCUUCAAACGCUCACCUUUGGCAGUGAUUCCCAGCUGGCAGCCUCCUGAUCAUAAAAUAUUAGUGAAGAUCAGAGCUAAAAACUAUGAUCUUGGCUGAGGACCGUCUUUGGAGCCUGCGGCAAAAUGGUUGGCCUUUGGAGAGGUAUGCAGAGGAUUUUCUCAAGCUUUCCCAUCAGGUGAGCUGGCCUGACACCUCCCGCAGUGUUUUGGGAUGGGACUGGAUGGGGAUACGUUAAUUCGUUAUAGCGAGCCAGCUUGUUAUUUCUCUUUAGUCGAUAAAUCUCUAUUUAAACGGUUCAAAUUUUGAAGUAGAAGAAGUUAAAGAAAAGGAGUGUCUUCCUCAUCCAGCCCCCUCUGAGACACACUUGGCCUUGUAAGCUCACCCCACGCCGGUGCCCUCCACAUACCGCUCCAAGGGAUCCAUCCAUUCCUGACCUCCUGUGUUUCCCCGUUUCCAAAACUGGGUUUCUAACAGCACUGAAGUCUGCCUCCCUUCCUCCGUCUAUGGCUUCUAAGACCAUCCCAGUCCUCAGCCCAGUGAAAACGCAGGCCGCAUCGCACGCUAGCCUGCAGGCCACCCUUCCAGAGUCUCAUCCCAAAAUGGCCGCCACCCUUCCAGAGUCUCGUUCCAAGAUGGCCGCAGCCCUUCCAAAGUCUCUUCCUGUCAUGGACAUCACCAUUCCAGAGUCUCGUCCCAACAUGGCCACCAUUCCAGAGCCUUGUUCCAUCAUGACCGCCAUUCCAGAGUCUCAUCCCGUCAUGGCAGACGAGACAUUCUUGAAUAAUUUAUUGGAUACACACUGGUAUGUUAUUGUAGGGACACUGACUUUAUAUUUUCACACCCCAAAACAUGAACUGUGAUAGGUUGCAUUACAUGUCAGUCAAAUGUCCUCUUGGGCGGUGCUUGGCCAAUGAAAGCUGCGAUAGGUUCCAGACCUUCUGCCAUCAGUCAGUAUUGUAUACCACUAUGUAAAGCGACCUUGAGCUAUGGAAAGGCACUAUAUAAAUAAAACUUAUUCUUCUUCUUCUGAACGUCUGGCUACGCAAGACUAUAUUUGUGAUAAUGUAAUGAAACAUGCCAAAUUGUGUGGAAAUAAUUUUUGGCCAGGCUGUCAUACAAAGAUGUUAUGAACAUAUGCAAAAACAGGACAGAACCAGCAAAAUAUUAAUAAAUGAAUAUGUUGUAUUCAAUGUAUGCUUUUUCCUGUUAGUUUUUUGUCCCAACAUGGCCACCAUUCCAGAGCCUUGUUCCGUCAUGACCGCCAUUCCAGAGUCUCGUCCCGUCAUGGCAGCCGCGCAUGUGCCCCUAGGUGUAUUGGUGGAGUAUGAGGGUAUGUCUUGGAGCCCAGAUAUGGCUCCAGCCCCUGAGUCCGCUCCAGCACAGACUCCAGCCCCUGACCACAGUCCAGUGCAGGCUCCAGCCCCUGACCAGAGUUUGUUAAUGGCUUCAGCCCUUGAGCAUGUUACAAAGUCCAUUCCAGUAUGUUCUCCAGAGUCUGCUCCAGAAAGUUCUUCAGAGUCCACUCCAGAACUUCUCCAGGCCUACAAACGCCUAGCCAAUGCCCACGGAGGCCACACCACCAUGGCAUCUUGAACUACCUUCUUCACUGUGGACCUCUGAGUCUUCAGUGGCCUCGGAGGCUCCAGCACCCCCUGUACCUCAGUAGUCCCCUAAGUCUCCAGUGCCCUCGGAGUCUCCAGUGCCCCCUGAACCUCCAUGGAUCACUGGGCCAUCUGUGCCUUCCUGGCUUCCUGAACUGCCUGCUCCUCCCUGGUUCCUGGUACCACUGGUUCCGCCCUGGAGGCUUCCUGUUCUGUCGAAGACACUCCAAGCCAGCCUUCAGGGCACCCUCCCUCCCACACCUAUUGACUUUAUUUGGCACGAGGACGCGCCUUCUGGGAGGGGGAGGUAAUGUUACAUGUCUGUUUGUUUUGGACUCUGUUUGAUUUUCAUUGGUUCCCUUGUUCCUUUGUUCAGUUUCCCGCCACUCCUUAGUUGUAAUGGUCACCUUAAUUAUGGUUCAUUCAUUACCAGCUGUGUUUGUUCAAUUAGUCUUUAAACUUGCAUAACAUUCUUGAAUAAUUUAUUGGAUACACACUGGUCUGUUAUUGUAGGGACAUUGACUUUAUAUUUUCACGCCCCAAAACAUGAACUGUGAUAGGUUGCAUUACAUGUCAGUCAAAUGUCCUCUUGGGCGGUGCUUGGCCAAUGAAAGCUGCGAUAGAUUCCAGACCUUCUGCCAUCAGUCAGUAUUGUAUAUCACUAUGUAAAGCGACCUUGAGCUAUGGAAAGGCACUAUAUAAAUAAAACGUAUUCUUCUUCUGAAGGUCUGGCUACGCAAGACUAUAUUUGUGAUAACGUAAUGAAACAUGCCAAAUUGUGUGGAAAUAGUUUUUGGCCAGGCUGUCAUACAAAGAUGUUAUGAACAUAUGCAAAAACAGGACAGAACCAGCAAAAUAUUAAUAAAUUAAUAUGUUGUAUUCAAUGUAUGCUUUUUCCUGUUAGUUUUUUGUUUUUCUAUGCAUUUUUUUUUUUUUUUUUUUUUUUUGCAUAGUAAAAUAAAACCUGUAUCUGUCUUUUUGCCAAAUACUUUUGUCAGAUAAAUAUCUCAACCAGGUUUAGUUUUUUGUUCUCCCUCAUUUUUGAAAUAUUUAAAGUCCCCCUGUGGUGAAAAUCAAGCUUUUAAUGUUGUUUAUAUGUCUAUGUGGUGUUUUUAAUAUGCUUUAAGACAAACCAUGUGCAAAUUCAUAAGUCAACACCAUUGCUGAGUAUUUUCUCUUUAAAACUGAAGUGAACCAAAGACAUUCCGAGUAACCAAUCACGUCAACGUGUGAUUGUCAACAAGUGGAUCUCCGAGUGGAGGCAGGGCUAACUUGCACAUUUAUAGAACCGUGUAUAAUAUAUGAGGCAAGGGUGUAGAGUUACAUUCAUUGUUAAUGCAUGAAGAUUUUUUUUCCCAAGGAAAAAACAUUUAAAUAUGUAAUUUUGGUGAUCAAAGAUGAGUUUUAAGGGAUAAAAUUAUUGACUACAGGGGGAUUUUAAAAAAUAUUAAAUAUUUUUCUCAUAUUUCGAACUUGUAGGGUCAUUAAAGACAAAUAUCUCCUCCUGGCCACUACUGUGCAUGCAGAAGACAUGUUGAUACCAGGUGUAAACAGCAGUUUGUCUCACCUGACCAGAUCAGCCAAGACAGAAGUUAAUACCAGGUGUAAACAUGGAUUCAGAAAAACUGGAUACAAUGACAUAUAAUGAUAUAUGUUACAAAAUAAAA